GCCUGAGUAUCUGCUAUUCCCAUCGAUAGCACCCGGAGUGGAGAUCUUGUUCCCCUCGCUCCCGUCCUCCUGGACCUGGGCCGCCAGCUGCUUACACAACGUGGCCUGCCGGCCCACCGCUCACCUGCCUGCCUCCCCACGCCUCGACCGCUUCCGGGUUUUCCGCUCCACCUGUCCCCUCCAUCUGAAACCAAUGCCCCCGGCCCCUACCUAGUCCUGUU